GUGAGGAAUAUUGGUCAAUGGGCGAGAGCCUGAACCAGCCAAGUAGCGUGAAGGAUGAAGGUUCUAUGGAUUGUAAACUUCUUUUAUAAGGGAAUAACAGGCGCUACGUGUAGCGUUUUGCAUGUACCUUAUGAAUAAGCAUCGGCUAACUCCGUGCCAGCAGCCGCGGUAAUACGGAGGAUGCGAGCGUUAUCCGGAUUUAUUGGGUUUAAAGGGAGCGUAGACGGGAUGUUAAGUCAGCUGUGAAAGUUUGGGGCUCAACCUUAAAAUUGCAGUUGAAACUGGCAUUCUUGAGUGCGGCAGAGGCAGGCGGAAUUCGUGGUGUAGCGGUGAAAUGCUUAGAUAUCACGAAGAACUCCGAUUGCGAAGGCAGCUUGCUGGAGCGUAACUGACGUUGAUGCUCGAAAGUGUGGGUAUCAAACAGGAUUAGAAACCCUAGUAGUCC
rnacentral:rRNA from 1 species